rnacentral:rRNA from 1 species
UACGUAGGGUGCAAGCGUUAAUCGGAAUUACUGGGCGUAAAGCGUGCGCAGGCGGUUGUGCAAGACAGAUGUGAAAUCCCCGGGCUUAACCUGGGAAUGGCAUUUGUGACUGCACGGCUAGAGUGUGUCAGAGGGGGGUAGAAUUCCACGUGUAGCAGUGAAAUGCGUAGAUAUGUGGAGGAACACCGAUGGCGAAGGCAGCCCCCUGGGUCAAGACUGACGCUCAUGCACGAAAGCGUGGGGAGCAAACAGG